rnacentral:snoRNA from 1 species
CAUCUCCCAAUCUGCGCGAUUGCACUUGUGUCCCGUAGUGUAAUUGUCGUAACUGGAGAGAGAGAGAAACCCAAGUUUUGUGUGUUCACCAGAGAGACCCCGGCCGUGGUCUCCCUGUCCUUGCAAAAUCUUACAUUU